GACGAACGCUGGCGGCGUGCCUAAUACAUGCAAGUCGAGCGAGUCUGCCUUGAAGAUCGGAGUGCUUGCACUCCGUGAAACAAGAUACAGGCUAGCGGCGGACGGGUGAGUAACACGUGGGUAACCUGCCCAAGAGAUCGGGAUAACACCUGGAAACAGAUGCUAAUACCGGAUAACAACAGAUGAUGCCUAUCAACUGUUUAAAAGAUGGUUCUGCUAUCACUCUUGGAUGGACCUGCGGUGCAUUAGCUAGUUGGUAGGGUAACGGCCUACCAAGGCGAUGAUGCAUAGCCGGGUUGAGAGACUGAUCGGCCACAUUGGGACUGAGACACGGCCCAAACUCCUACGGGAGGCAGCAGUAGGGAAUCUUCCACAAUGGACGCAAGUCUGAUGGAGCAACGCCGCGUGAGUGAAGAAGGGUUUCGGCUCGUAAAGCUCUGUUGUUGGUGAAGAAGGACAGGGGUAGUAACUGACCUUUGUUUGACGGUAAUCAAUUAGAAAGUCACGGCUAACUACGUG
rnacentral:rRNA from 1 species